CUGAGUGUCAACUCAGCUGUGGUGACCAAGUAUAAAGUGGAAUGGAGCUCUUCAGAAGACUUUUCUCCUUUGGCUGGUGAAAUAGUUAUGGAUAAUCUUCAGUCUUUGAGGUGCACCAUCACAGGUCUCAGAACGGGCCAGAGGUAUUAUGUCCGUGUUUCAGCAUACAACAUGAGAGGAUGGGGACCUCCACGCAAAUCUACUCCUGAAUAUGCUUCUCCUUCAAGUAGGUUGAGUUUGUCUGCCCUCUUAGUUUGAUUAGUGAUGUUGAUUGGUAAAAAUACUCUGUCUUCAAA
rnacentral:lncRNA from 14 species